rnacentral:lncRNA from 1 species
UUUUUUUUUCAAUUGUAAAUUUCUAAUUAAGAACAAUACUUAUUAGAAUUGGGUAUCAGGUCUCGUGUCAAUUGCGAAAUAUCUACUUUUUUGUUACAACACUUCCUUAAAAAAGUUUGGAUUGGACUAACUAAGAAAGGGGAAGGAAGAAAGUGAAUCAGUAUACUAAUUCCUCAUCCCCAAUCAAUCCUUCCCGUUGGGUUAUUGUCCCAAUAAAAAUAAAACAAAAUAAAUAAUUGUAGGAGUAAAAUCUUGAUAGAAUUCGAAAAAGCAAGCAGCAAGUACAAGACAAUAAAAAAAAAUACGUAUUUUU